UAAUGCUGUUUCUCUCCAAGGUUCACCCUGUUCAACAAGACACCAUCAAAUCCCGCCUCUCUUGGGGGAAAAGGGGUGUGGAGGGGCCCUGCAUCUGCAGCUGAAGACUUUGCUGGAAUCCUUGAAGCAUAAAAACGUCCACCAGCAGGGAUAUUACAAACGACAUGAAUAAUAUUUGUGAUUAAUAACAACUAAGCAGAGGCACACUAUCCAAGAAAUACAUGAUUAGCUUAUUACAGAUAUCUGAUAUACCAAUUAUCUUCAAAAAUUUCAUCAUUGAUGACUGUUUUGGCAGAAAUUUGAGUAGGGGAAGAGGAAACUUGAACUUUUAUGUAAGUUCAAAACAAAGCUUUUGGGCGAUUGGACUUUGGAAGACCUGGGAAAGGUAUUUGGUAUUUAAUUCUGGCUGAUGAGAAGGAAAUUAAAUAAUGAGAAUGGAAAUCAGUGUGAAGAUGGAAACUUGAGUCUAGGAGAACUUGGCUGUCAUCGUCAGGAGCUCCUCUUUACCUUUCUGGACAAAAGGUUUUAGAAAGCAACGGAGGUAUUAGAAGAACAGGUAUAUUAAGCAGCCUGGGCUGAAAUUCCUGUAGGAGUCCUACUCGGAUUUU